rnacentral:rRNA from 1 species
GACGAACGCUGACGGUGUGCUUUAGACAUGCAAGUCGAACGAGAAAGCCCUUCGGGUUAGUAAAGUGGCGAACGGGUGAGUAACACGUGGGCAAUCUGCCCCUCGCAGGGGGACGAACCGGAGGAAACUCCGGCUAAUACCCCGUAACGUUCAAAGGGAGGCAUCUCUCUUCGAAGAAAGGUAGCUUCGGCCAUCCGGCGAGGGAUGAGCCCGCGGUGCAUUAGCUAGUUGGUGGGGUAACGGCCUACCAAGGCGACGAUGCAUAGCUGGUCUGAGAGGAUGAUCAGCCACACUGGGACUGAGACACGGCCCAGACUCCUACGGGAGGCAGCAGUCGGGAAUCUUGCGCAAUGGGCGAAAGCCUGACGCAGCAACACCGUGUGUGUGAGGAAGGCC